rnacentral:rRNA from 1 species
UACGAAGGGUGCAAACGUUGCUCGGAAUUAUUGGGCGUAAAGCGCACGUAGGCGGUAUUGCAGGUCGGAUGUGAAAUCCCUCGGCUUAACCAAGGAAGUGCAUCCGAAACUGCUGUACUUGAGUACGAAAGAGGAUCGCGGAAUUCCCGGUGUAGAGGUGAAAUUCGUAGAUAUCGGGAGGAACACCAGUGGCGAAGGCGGCGAUCUGGGUCGAUACUGACGCUGAGGUGCGAAAGCGUGGGGAGCAAACAGG